rnacentral:rRNA from 1 species
CUCUGAGUGAUUCCCGCUAAGGGAAUCUUUUGGCAUCUCUAAAAACGAUGCAGAAUAAGGGGUGGGCAAGUCUGGUGUCAGCCGCCGCGGUAAUACCAGCACCCCGAGUGGUCGGGACGAUUAUUGGGCCUAAAGCAUCCGUAGCCGGUCUUGCAAGUCUUCCGUUAAAUCCACCUGCUUAACAGAUGGGCUGCGGAAGAUACUACAAGACUAGGAGGCGGGAGAGGCAAGCGGUACUCAGUGGGUAGGGGUAAAAUCCUCUGAUCCAUUGAAGACCACCAGUGGCGAAGGCGGCUUGCCAGAACGCGCUCGACGGUGAGGGAUGAAAGCUGGGGGAGCAAACCGGAUUAGAUACCCGGGUAGUCCCAGCUGUAAACGAUGCAGACUCGGUGAUGGGCCGGCUUCAUGCCGGCUCAGUGCCGCAGGGAAGCCGUUAAGUCUGCCGCCUGGGGAGUACGGUCGCAAGACUGAAACUUAAAGGAAUUGGCGGGGGAGCACCACAAGGGGUGAAGCCUGCGGUUCAAUUGGAGUCAACGCUGGAAAUCUUACCGGGGGCGGCAGCAGAGUGAAGGUCAAGCUGAAGACUUUACCAGACAAGCUGAGAGGAGGUGCAUGGCCGUCGCCAGCUCGUGCCGUGAGGUGUCCUGUUAAGUCAGGUAACGAGCGAGAUCCCUGCUUUUAGUUGCUACCACUACUCUCAGGAGGAGUGGGGCUAAUUAAAAGGACUGCCGUCGCUAAGGCGGAGGAAGGAGGGGGCUACGGCAGGUCAGUAUGCCCCGAAACCCUCGGGCCACACGCGGGCUGCAAUGGUAAGGACAAUGGGUCCCGAUUCCGAAAGGAGGAGGCAAUCCCGAAACCUUACCUCAGUUAUGAUUGAGGGCUGAAACUCGCCCUCAUGAAUAUGGAAUCCCUAGUAACCGCGUGUCAUUAUCGCGCGGUGAAUACGUCCCUG